rnacentral:rRNA from 1 species
GCAGUCGACGGAAAGGCCCUUCGGGGUACUCGAGUGGCGAACGGGUGAGUAACACGUGGGUGAUCUGCCCUGCACUUUGGGAUAAGCCUGGGAAACUGGGUCUAAUACCGAAUAUGACCGCGCACUUCCUGGUGUGUGGUGGAAAGCUUUUGCGGUGUGGGAUGGGCCCGCGGCCUAUCAGCUUGUUGGUGGGGUAAUGGCCUACCAAGGCGACGACGGGUAGCCGGCCUGAGAGGGUGACCGGCCACACUGGGACUGAGAUACGGCCCAGACUCCUACGGGAGGCAGCAGUGGGGAAUAUUGCACAAUGGGCGCAAGCCUGAUGCAGCGACGCCGCGUGAGGGAUGACGGCCUUCGGGUUGUAAACCUCUUUCAAUAGGGACGAAGCGCAAGUGACGGUACCUAUAGAAGAAGGACCGGCCAACUACGUGCCAGCAGCCGCGGUAAUACGUAGGGUCCGAGCGUUGUCCGGAAUUACUGGGCGUAAAGAGCUCGUAGGUGGUUUGUCGCGUUGUUCGUGAAAACUCACAGCUUAACUGUGGGCGUGCGGGCGAUACGGGCAGACUAGAGUACUGCAGGGGAGACUGGAAUUCCUGGUGUAGCGGUGGAAUGCGCAGAUAUCAGGAGGAACACCGGUGGCGAAGGCGGGUCUCUGGGCAGUAACUGACGCUGAGGAGCGAAAGCGUGGGGAGCGAACAGGAUUAGAUACCCUGGUAGUCCACGCCGUAAACGGUGGGUACUAGGUGUGGGUUUCCUUCCUUGGGAUCCGUGCCGUAGCUAACGCAUUAAGUACCCCGCCUGGGGAGUACGGCCGCAAGGCUA